GACGAACGCUGGCGGCGUGCUUAACACAUGCAAGUCGAGCGGUAAGGCCCUUUCGGGGGUACACGAGCGGCGAACGGGUGAGUAACACGUGGGUGACCUGCCCUCAGCUCUGGGAUAAGCCUGGGAAACCGGGUCUAAUACUGGAUAUGACUCCAUGACGCAUGUUGUGGGGUGGAAAGCCUUGUGCGGCUGAGGAUGGGCCCGCGGCCUAUCAGCUUGUUGGUGGGGUGANGGCCUACCAAGGCGACGACGGGUAGCCGGCCUGAGAGGGCGACCGGCCACACUGGGACUGAGACACGGCCCAGACUCCUACGGGAGGCAGCAGUGGGGAAUCUUGCGCAAUGGGCGAAAGCCUGACGCAGCGACGCCGCGUGAGGGAUGACGGCCUGGUGUAAC
rnacentral:rRNA from 1 species